GUGGGGUAACGGCCCACCAAGGCGACGACGGGUAGCCGGCCUGAGAGGGCGAUCGGCCACACUGGGACUGAGACACGGCCCAGACUCCUACGGGAGGCAGCAGUGGGGAAUAUUGCGCAAUGGGCGAAAGCCUGACGCAGCGACGCCGCGUGAGGGAUGAAGGCCUUCGGGUUGUAAACCUCUUUCAGCAGGGAAGAAGCGAAAGUGACGGUACCUGCAGAAGAAGCACCGGCUAACUACGUGCCAGCAGCCGCGGUAAUACGUAGGGUGCAAGCGUUGUCCGGAAUUAUUGGGCGUAAAGAGCUCGUAGGCGGUCUGUCACGUCGGAUGUGAAAAUCCAGGGCUUAACCCUGGACCUGCAUUCGAUACGGGCAGACUAGAGUUCGGUAGGGGAGACUGGAAUUCCUGGUGUAGCGGUGAAAUGCGCAGAUAUCAGGAGGAACACCGGUGGCGAAGGCGGGUCUCUGGGCCGAUACUGACGCUGAGGAACGAAAGCGUGGGUAGCGAACAGGAUUAGAUACCCUGGUAGUCCACGCCGUAAACGGUGGGCGCUAGGUGUGGGUUCCUUCCACGGAAUCCGUGCCGUAGCUAACGCAUUAAGCG
rnacentral:rRNA from 1 species